UACGGAGGGGGCAAGCGUUAUUCGGAAUUAUUGGGCGUAAAGGGCGUGUAGGCGGCUUCGUUUGUCCCAUGUGAAAGCCCUCGGCUUAACUGAGGAACUGCAUGAGAAACUACGAAGCUUGAGUCCGGGAGAGGAAAGCGGAAUUCCCAGUGUAGCGGUGAAAUGCGUAGAUAUUGGGAGGAACACCAGUGGCGAAGGCGGCUUUCUGGACCGGUACUGACGCUGAGACGCGAAAGCCAGGGGAGCAAACGGG
rnacentral:rRNA from 1 species